UCCGUAGGUGAACCUGCGGAAGGAUCAUUAUAGUAAGCUUAAAUGCGCACACCUUUUUAUACAGAAGACACGAAAACGUUUUUAACAAGGUCAGCCUUAACUAAUAUCAAAACUUUCAACAACGGAUCUCUUGGUUCUCGCAUCGAUGAAGAACGCAGCGAAAUGCGAUAAGUAAUAUGAAUUGCAGAUUUUCGUGAAUCAUCGAAUCUUUGAACGCACAUUGCACUUUUUGGUAUUCCAGAAAGUAUGCUUGUUUGAGCGUCAUUUCUCCCUCAAACCAUUGGUUUGGCAGUGAGCUAGAACGACGUUUGGCUUGAAAGUUAUACGUGGUAAUAUCCAAGAACUAUUACUGCGGCACUAAUUUUUGACCUCAAAUCAAGUAGGACUACCCGCUGAACUUAAGCAUAUCAAUAAGCGGAGGA
rnacentral:sRNA from 1 species